rnacentral:rRNA from 1 species
CGUCCGAGUUGUAGUCUGGAGAAGUGUUAUCUGUGUCGGACCGUGUACAAGUCUCCUGGAAUGGAGCGUCAUAGAGGGUGAGAAUCCCGUCCAUGGCACGGACGCCCGAUGCUUUGUGAGACACUCUCAAAGAGUCGAGUUGUUUGGGAAUGCAGCUCAAAAUGGGUGGUAAAUUCCAUCUAAAGCUAAAUAUUGGCGAGAGACCGAUAGCGAACAAGUACCGUGAGGGAAAGAUGAAAAGCACUUUGGAAAGAGAGUUAAACAGUACGUGAAAUUGUUGAAAGGGAAACGCUUGAAGUCAGUCGCGUCCCUUAGAACUCAGCCUUACUUAGGUUUGGUGUACUUUCUAUUGGGACGGGUCAACAUCAGUUUCGACCGGUGGAAAAGGGCAGAGGGAANGUAGCGCCGUUUCGGCGGCGUGUUAUANCCCUUUGUCAAAUACNCUGGUUGGGACUGAGGACUGCAGCACGCCCUUGUGGCCGGGGGUACNCCCCACGUAACGNNCUUAGGANGUUGGCAUAAUGNCUUUNANCGACCCGUCUUGAAACACGGACCAAGGANUCUAACAUGCUUGCAANUGUUCGGNUGNAAAACCCUUG